GGGGAAUUUUGGACAAUGGGCGCAAGCCUGAUCCAGCAAUGCCGCGUGAGUGAAGAAGGCCUUCGGGUUGUAAAGCUCUUUUGUCAGGGAAGAAACGGGUUUUUCUAAUACAGAGACCUAAUGACGGUACCUGAAGAAUAAGCACCGGCUAACUACGUGCCAGCAGCCGCGGUAAUACGUAGGGUGCAAGCGUUAAUCGGAAUUACUGGGCGUAAAGCGUGCGCAGGCGGUUUUGUAAGACUGUCGUGAAAUCCCCGGGCUCAACCUGGGAAUGGCGAUGGUGACUGCAAGGCUAGAGUUUGGCAGAGGGGGGUAGAAUUCCACGUGUAGCAGUGAAAUGCGUAGAUAUGUGGAGGAACACCGAUGGCGAAGGCAGCCCCCUGGGUCAAAACUGACGCUCAUGCACGAAAGCGUGGGGAGCAAAC
rnacentral:rRNA from 1 species